GGGUUGUGAGGUUAAGCGACUAAGCGUACACGGUGGAUGCCCUGGCAGUCAGAGGCGAUGAAGGACGUGCUAAUCUGCGAUAAGCGUCGGUAAGGUGAUAUGAACCGUUAUAACCGGCGAUUUCCGAAUGGGGAAACCCAGUGUGUUUCGACACACUAUCAUUAACUGAAUCCAUAGGUUAAUGAGGCGAACCGGGGGAACUGAAACAUCUAAGUACCCCGAGGAAAAGAAAUCAACCGAGAUUCCCCCAGUAGCGGCGAGCGAACGGGGAGCAGCCCAGAGCCUGAAUCAGUGUGUGUGUUAGUGGAAGCGUCUGGAAAGGCGCGCGAUACAGGGUGACAGCCCCGUACACAAAAAUGCACAUGCUGUGAGCUCGAUGAGUAGGGCGGGACACGUGGUAUCCUGUCUGAAUAUGGGGGGACCAUCCUCCAAGGCUAAAUACUCCUGACUGACCGAUAGUGAACCAGUACCGUGAGGGAAAGGCGAAAAGAACCCCGGCGAGGGGAGUGAAAAAGAACCUGAAACCGUGUACGUACAAGCAGUGGGAGCACAGAGCAAUCUGUGUGACUGCGUACCUUUUGUAUAAUGGGUCAGCGACUUAUAUUCUGUAGCAAGGUUAACCGAAUAGGGGAGCCGAAGGGAAACCGAGUCUUAACUGGGCGUUAAGUUGCAGGGUAUAGACCCGAAACCCGGUGAUCUAGCCAUGGGCAGGUUGAAGGUUGGGUAACACUAACUGGAGGACCGAACCGACUAAUGUUGAAAAAUUAGCGGAUGACUUGUGGCUGGGGGUGAAAGGCCAAUCAAACCGGGAGAUAGCUGGUUCUCCCCGAAAGCUAUUUAGGUAGCGCCUCGUGAAUUCAUCUCCGGGGGUAGAGCACUGUUUCGGCAAGGGGGUCAUCCCGACUUACCAACCCGAUGCAAACUGCGAAUACCGGAGAAUGUUAUCACGGGAGACACACGGCGGGUGCUAACGUCCGUCGUGAAGAGGGAAACAACCCAGACCGCCAGCUAAGGUCCCAAAGUCAUGGUUAAGUGGGAAACGAUGUGGGAAGGCCCAGACAGCCAGGAUGUUGGCUUAGAAGCAGCCAUCAUUUAAAGAAAGCGUAAUAGCUCACUGGUCGAGUCGGCCUGCGCGGAAGAUGUAACGGGGCUAAACCAUGCACCGAAGCUGCGGCAGCGACGCUUAUGCGUUGUUGGGUAGGGGAGCGUUCUGUAAGCCUGUGAAGGUGUACUGUGAGGUAUGCUGGAGGUAUCAGAAGUGCGAAUGCUGACAUAAGUAACGAUAAAGCGGGUGAAAAGCCCGCUCGCCGGAAGACCAAGGGUUCCUGUCCAACGUUAAUCGGGGCAGGGUGAGUCGACCCCUAAGGCGAGGCCGAAAGGCGUAGUCGAUGGGAAACAGGUUAAUAUUCCUGUACUUGGUGUUACUGCGAAGGGGGGACGGAGAAGGCUAUGUUGGCCGGGCGACGGUUGUCCCGGUUUAAGCGUGUAGGCUGGUUUUCCAGGCAAAUCCGGAAAAUCAAGGCUGAGGCGUGAUGACGAGGCACUACGGUGCUGAAGCAACAAAUGCCCUGCUUCCAGGAAAAGCCUCUAAGCAUCAGGUAACAUCAAAUCGUACCCCAAACCGACACAGGUGGUCAGGUAGAGAAUACCAAGGCGCUUGAGAGAACUCGGGUGAAGGAACUAGGCAAAAUGGUGCCGUAACUUCGGGAGAAGGCACGCUGAUAUGUAGGUGAAGUCCCUCGCGGAUGGAGCUGAAAUCAGUCGAAGAUACCAGCUGGCUGCAACUGUUUAUUAAAAACACAGCACUGUGCAAACACGAAAGUGGACGUAUACGGUGUGACGCCUGCCCGGUGCCGGAAGGUUAAUUGAUGGGGUCAGCGCAAGCGAAGCUCUUGAUCGAAGCCCCGGUAAACGGCGGCCGUAACUAUAACGGUCCUAAGGUAGCGAAAUUCCUUGUCGGGUAAGUUCCGACCUGCACGAAUGGCGUAAUGAUGGCCAGGCUGUCUCCACCCGAGACUCAGUGAAAUUGAACUCGCUGUGAAGAUGCAGUGUACCCGCGGCAAGACGGAAAGACCCCGUGAACCUUUACUAUAGCUUGACACUGAACAUUGAGCCUUGAUGUGUAGGAUAGGUGGGAGGCUUGGAAGUGUGGACGCCAGUCUGCAUGGAGCCGACCUUGAAAUACCACCCUUUAAUGUUUGAUGUUCUAACGUGGACCCGUGAUCCGGGUUGCGGACAGUGUCUGGUGGGUAGUUUGACUGGGGCGGUCUCCUCCUAAAGAGUAACGGAGGAGCACGAAGGUUGGCUAAUCCUGGUCGGACAUCAGGAGGUUAGUGCAAUGGCAUAAGCCAGCUUGACUGCGAGCGUGACGGCGCGAGCAGGUGCGAAAGCAGGUCAUAGUGAUCCGGUGGUUCUGAAUGGAAGGGCCAUCGCUCAACGGAUAAAAGGUACUCCGGGGAUAACAGGCUGAUACCGCCCAAGAGUUCAUAUCGACGGCGGUGUUUGGCACCUCGAUGUCGGCUCAUCACAUCCUGGGGCUGAAGUAGGUCCCAAGGGUAUGGCUGUUCGCCAUUUAAAGUGGUACGCGAGCUGGGUUUAGAACGUCGUGAGACAGUUCGGUCCCUAUCUGCCGUGGGCGCUGGAGAACUGAGGGGGGCUGCUCCUAGUACGAGAGGACCGGAGUGGACGCAUCACUGGUGUUCGGGUUGUCAUGCCAAUGGCACUGCCCGGUAGCUAAAUGCGGAAGAGAUAAGUGCUGAAAGCAUCUAAGCACGAAACUUGCCCCGAGAUGAGUUCUCCCUGACUCCUUGAGAGUCCUGAAGGAACGUUGAAGACGACGACGUUGAUAGGCCGGGUGUGUAAGCGCAGCGAUGCGUUGAGCUAACCGGUACUAAUGAACCGUGAGGCUUAACCUUACAACGCCGAAGGUGUUU
rnacentral:rRNA from 1 species